AUUAUUUUCUAACAUUUUAGCAUUUUAAAAUCAGCUAAAAUAAUGAAUAUUGAAUCCUUCCUUAUUUAUAAUCUAUAUUUAUAUUAUUAUUAUAAAAGUAUGAAUACAAUGUCGGUUUAUAAAAAUAACCUUGUAAUAUUAAGCAUAAUAACUCAUAAUAAAAGGACAUAACCGGAAUUCUCAAUAUUAGCCAUAUAAUCCUAUUAGUUUUAGGACAUAUACUACACAUUAGGAAUUCGUUUUUGUGUAUCUAAUUUUUUUGCUUACUUUUGUUCGUUGNNNNNNNNNNNNNNNNNNNNNNNNNGGAUGAUGUUUACAAUUUGGUUUCAACAAUGAAGAAGACCAUAUUUAGAGUACGUAUUUAUUUAAAACUCCCUAUUUAUCUCAAUAUUUUUUUUACCAAUAUAACCUAUUGAUUUAAUAGAAAGCUUGAUGUAAUUAAGGCUAUUUUUGUCUACUAAUUUAGUAUAAUGACUUUCGGUAUAGACAUAUAAUACUACAUGUUAGCAUGUAAACCUAACACCUUUAGAAAUACGUUAGAUUUCCUUUAGUAUAAUUACUUUCGGGAAGAUAUAUUUUCGGUCAUGCAAUCCUAUUACUUUUAUGAUAUACUUCUUAAAAGUUCAUAUUACUAAUUUAAUUUUAAAACGUAUUAUAAUGUCCUAUUACUAAUUUAAUUUGAGAAUGUAUUAUAUUGUUCAAAUUUAUUUAGAAAAAUGAGAGCCUAUAUUUUUAUAAAAAUACAAAUACAAUAUUGAUAGACCAAAAUAGAUCAAAAAUAGUAAAUAGAAGAAAUCAUAGGGAAAGGACAUAACUAUAAUAACCUAUUGAAAGGACAUAACUAUAAUAACCUAUUUCCUAGACUACAUUACCUUUUAUGUUAAUUUUUUAAUAUUUAAGAUUUUAACAUUAAUAAAAUUUUAUUUAUUAAGUUCAUAUUAAAAAUAUAAAAGAAGGUUUAAUAAAAUCAAUUCAAUAAGAAUCCUCCGUUGGCAAUACAUUAUCACUCUAUAAUGUCUAAUACCAAGAAAAAAUAAAAUUAAUGUUAAAUAGAAGGCAUAAGGCAUUGAAAUUGAGAAAAAAAAAUAUCUCCAUGAUAAUAUAUUCUAUAUUAUAUUUAAAUAAUUUUCAUAUUCAAAUAUAAAAAUUAUCAAUUUUAUCGUGUAAUAGUAAAAAAUAUACCCAAUUAUUAAACAACAACUAAGAAAAUAUUUAAGAAUAUAAAUAUGUGAGAAAGAGAAAGAAAUAUGGUUGGUAAGGUCAAUACCACUAUUGAUUCUACAAACGCAAAGAUCUAAAAGUAAAAUGUCAGAUCAAUCUCUUUACUCUUUCAAAAUAGAAUUUAUAAUGAAGAAAAUUAUAAUUAAGAUUAAAUAUUCAAAACAAGAGAUGAACUAAUAUUAAGAUCUGAAUCAAUAUAAAAUAAAUUAUUUCUUAUUUAAGUCUAAAUAAUUAAAUCUUUCAAUUAAUUAUUUAGCAAGAGAAUCCAAUUCAGUUCAUCAUAUGAGUAAAAUUAUUUGUCAAGUUAAAACAAAAUUUAGGGGUCAUUUAGUAUAUGUGAUAAUGAUAAUAACCCCGGGAUAAGUUUGGGGUUAGCCUUAUCCCAUGUUUGGUUUGGGUUAUAGAUAAUACCGAGAUAAUUUUUACACGAAAAUGGUGGGAUUAGUUAUCCCAUAUAGAAGGUGUGAUAUCCCACCAUUAUAGCAAACAACCCCUUAGAGUACAUAAAUUUAUUUCAUAUAAAGAGCAUUAGAGUUGAAAAAAAUUAGAACACAAAGUAUAAAAAAAAGUUAAUAUAGUAUUAAGAUUCAAAAUGUCAUACAAAUGUCUGAGGAAGCACAAUCAAAACUAAAUCCUGAACAAGAACAAAUUUUCAAGACUAUAUUAUAAAGAGUCGACUAUGGUAUAGCGGGAUUAUCUUUUAUAGAUGUUUCUGGCAUAAUCGAAAUAAUUUUUUUAUGUCAUGCAUUACUUGAAAAUGUCAGAACAAGAGGCAUGAUACUAUUAGCAAUAAUAACAAGUCGUGUACCAACGAUAAUUUUAUUAUGAGGUCCCUCACUUUAGAUUUGAUAUACCUAUUCAAACAACUGAAUUGGCCAUCACAAAUAUAUCAAAGCAGCGCAAUAACUCUAAUAAGGAAAGCAAAGUUGAUAAGAUGGGAUGAAGCGUUUAUGGCUAAGUAUCAAAUGAUCGAAAUAAUUAUCCGGAGUUCUAGAGAAUCAGUGAUAUAUUGGAUAUCAAUGAACUGUUUAGUGAAAAAUUAAUAGUUUGGAAGGUAAUUUCUGUCAAGUACUACCAGUAGUUCCAAAAUCGAUAAAAGGAGAGAAUAUAAAAGUUAACUUGCCAAAAUUAUACUUAUGGCCUCAAAUGAAAAGGAUUCAACUGAUAAGAAAUAUAAAAUAAGACAAAUCCAGUAUUUAAUGACUUCUUUCUUCAUGUCGGAAACGAAGAAGACCAUCCAAUAAAAGAUGAUUUUAUUCUUCCAAAACAGUUGGUUAUCAACCUCAAUGGUAAUAGUAGUGCAUUUAUUAAGGUUAAUAUUUCCGAAAGUAGAAUAAAACGCAAUUUGCAAAUUGUAUGAUAGAAAUUAAAAAGCUAUCUUAGCUAAUAGAUGAUUAUGUUGAUUAACUAAAUAAAAGGUUGAUGCCAAAUUUUAUGGUAAAAAUAAAAUAUUUUUCAGUUUUUGACUCAGCAGAAGAUGAUACCAAUAAUUACUACUAAAAAGAAUACUUAAAUACUUAAUAUCAAAAGACCUUCUACCAUAGACGUUUGUUGUCAAGUUUAUUAUUUCAUACGUAUGUUAGUGCCAUCGUAUAUAUAAUAGACUAAUUUAAAUUGAUAUUUUAUUGUAUAUAGGUUGAUUUUGAAGAAAAAUAUGCUCGUCAUGCUAUUGAAAUUUGGAUCCGCCAAAUAGCUAUAGCACACAGAUGGUAUAUAGAAGUUUUGACAAUAAUAUCAUACAAAAAUUAUGAUACUGGUCAAUGUGCUUCUAAGUAUAUUUUUAUCCAAGAAUUCAUCUUUCGUCUUCCAAAACUAAAGAAUAUCCUAUUCAAUUUCUGAGAAAAUAAUUUUCAGCAUGUUUAUGUUUUGCAAUUAUAAUAAAUAAAGCACAAGGACAAACAUCCUAAAUGUUAGACUAUAUUUAUCGCAAUAAGCUUUCUUGCACAAACAACUAUAUGUUGCACUUUCAAGAGGGAUAUCAAUAUUGACAUCAAGAGUUGUGGUUAUGACAGAGCAACCAAAGCAUUAGAAGGAAACAUACCCAAAAAAAUAUCGUCUACAAAUAAGUGUUCGAUAAGAUACCAUCACAUUAAAUAUUUUUAAAUUAUAAUACCUAAUUAUCUAACUAACAUGACUAAAUUGAUCAUUUGUAUAAGUUCUGAUGAUGUCAUUUCAUUUUGAAUUUCACGUAUUAUGCUAAUGUAAUAAUAUUUUUCGACAUUUAAAUAAUUUUUGUAUUAUUAUACAUAAAAUUUCUCUCAUUAAUUAAAUAUUGUUGUUCUUUCAUAUAAAUAAAUAUUUAAACCAUCACAUGCUAUUAUUAACGUGCAAUGCACGUUCAUAGAUACUAGUACAUAAAAAUCCUCAUAUGUAGGAGUUUAAAAUUCUUUCCUUAUUUGAUUCGUAACAUAACUAUAAUAUGUUAACUUCUCUUAAUAUCUGAAUUUAAAAUUAAUUAACAACCGCCAUAAAGUGAUAUUACGCGUGCAAGGCCAAUAAUUAGCUUCUUGGUUGUAGCGUUGCCACCUAAUUCUAAUAUGUCUAUGUGUAAGGCACCAGGAAAUUAGGUUAAAACAAAACAAAAAUGAUUCUCAUUAGGGUCUAUAAUAAUACUAAUAAUAAUUAUUAUUAAUUUAAUUGAACUAUUUUUUCAUUUAUGAAAAUUUGAACUAUUUUAAAGUGAAUAUUUUCGAUCUCAAUGUACCGAUUAUAUGAUCAUGAUAAGCUACACACAUUGAAUAAACAAUAGUGCAAGGCAUUAAGCUUUGGUACAACAUGUAGAUGAGGUAAUUUUAAAUCGAUUUGUGAUGUAUCUAUUGCUAUUUGAAAAUUAAAAUUAGGCCAAGUUUUUAAAUAUAAAUUUAUCAAACUGUAAAGAAGUAAUUCAUCUUUAGAAGGUAUUAAAUCCGAUAAUCAUUUUGAGGAUAUUCCCAUCGAUCAUCAUUUCACAUUUGAAAUGUCUCAUCCGUUGAAGAUAGAUUUGAAUAUUUUUAAGACUUAAAACUUGGGAUGAGCUAACAUUAAGAAUUUGAAUCAACAAAAUUAAAAUACUAUCUUUAAUUGUGAAAUAAAUGAUUAUGCCUUUGAGUUAACUAAUUAGCAAAAAAAUUAAUUUAGUUCUUUUCAAAAUUCAUUAUAUAAAUAGAAUAUUUGUCAAGUUGACAAAACUCUUAGGGUAAAAAGAAGAGAAAUCGAUUAUAGUGUAGUAUAUUAAGAGUCAAAUUGAUUAAUUUGAAGCAAUUACGAUAAAAUAGUAUAAGAUAAAAUAUAUUAUAAAUGAAUUGUUAUUUUUUUAUUUGCAUUUAGUCCAAUAAAUGACAAUAUCUCACUAUAUUAUUUGUUAUAUUAAGUUAUUCGUAGUAAAAUAUUCACUUAACAUUAAUACUCAUUUUUAGACUUUACAUUAUCACUAUCAAUUUUAUUAGGUGUGUGAACAAUCUUUUCAUUCCCAAUCCCUAAAAGACAAAAAUAUUUAAUUUUUAAUUGUGUUGUUUGAUAAAUAUUUAGAAAAGCAUACGAAAAGUAUUUUUAUUUUUGUUUUCAGGUCAUACGAAUUUUCAUAAAGUAUUUCGACGUAAGUCCCCUUAAAUUACAAUUAAGUAUCUGAAAAUUUUUGUGAGAAUGAGCUAACUAAUGGGAACAAUAUUCAUUAGUUUCAGGAAUUUUUCUCUAAAUUUUAUUUUACAAUUUUGUAUAACUCAAAUAUAUAGUCUAAUAAUAUUUACGUGAUUUUUAAAAAAUAUACAUAUAAAAGCAAAGCGCGUACCCUGAAACUAGUUAUAUUAAAUGAUGUGCUACGUAUUUUUAUUUCCAGAUGCUAUUAUUAUCAAGUUGUAUAUGUCUAAUUGAAAUAACUGGACCUCUCUAGUACCAAACUCAUCUCGCUAAUCUAGAGGUCUGCGGAGCAUUGCUUUGUCCAUACGAAUUCUUGCUGGUGUGCUAUUUUUUUUCAAUCCUUUUGUUUUAAAGGGAUGCCAUCUCAUUUAGUCAUGUCACUAAAUAGAUACACAUUUUAUCCAAGUUAUCGUCGCCUAGCACAUGGAUACUAAUUGCUUGGAUUUAUGUUCUUUAAUUUCAUUGUCUGAGGUAAAUUAUGAAGAAUACAUUGACUUCGAUGCUGAGCCUUUGCACGUGCAUACAUAUUUAGUAUUAAAAGAAAAUGAGAAGAAUCUUGUAGCCGACUAUCCGACUUUGUGCCGGUCGGCGGUAAGACCCGAAGUGUUUCCUAACAAUAUUUUUUUCAUAUUCGAAGUUCGAACCCGAGAUCUUUAGUUAAGAGUGGAGAAAUCUUAUCCAUCUCAUCCCAACUCAUGUUAGUCAAAUACUCCACUUCCAAUAUUCACCAAGUGCAUGUUGAGACUUGAGUAACAUCAAGUGACACCAUUCAAUUCAAUAAUUUAGAUAUUACAACAUCCUUUUGCUGAAGUGGUUUACUUUGUUAAAUUUGGCAGUGUUGAGCAACUUUUUUCCUAACUUUUAUAAACUAAAUUAAAGAUUAAACGUUAUCUACAUUUUUCUCCACUUUUUAAUCUUUAUGAAAAACAUUAUUUUAAGUUUUGGCAACGUCAAUCACAUUCAACAUAGAUUUCCUUGCCCCCAUGAUCUCAUAAACAAUUCUGAGUGAGCUGUCAAUUUUAACAUUUAUAGACAUAGUAUAUAACUAUAUACUAUCAAUUAUUAAUUUUUAGGAUUAAUACACAAAUGUAAGGCCCUCAAUUUUUAAGUUGUCCAAUUAAACAUUUUUUAUUUGACCGGACACAUAAAUAUACAAAUAAAUAUAUAAAUUUAAAUCAUUAAAAGUUAUGUUAAAAUAGUAAAUAUGUUUUAUUCUUAAUCACAUAUUUCACGUUGGAAUCUUAGUAAUGAAGUCGAGGAUAUUAUCCUAAAAUAAAUUUUUUUAAUGCGAAUUUAAAUUAUUCGAACCUCAAAAUAAAUAGUACUCUAUUAAAUAGGACAAAAAGAAAGUCAAUUUAUUCAAUUGGUGCACCUUUAUGCAAAGCUUUUUCUUUUAUCCUUAUCCUUUCCUUUUUAGCCCCUUUCGGUGGCCUUAGCUACAGAAAAUGGACAUCCUCAGCUGCUGAUUUUAAUUUUUAAAAAACACCCAUUUUACAUAUGCAUUGCACGUUUUUUUAUGUAGGUCUGGGUCAAGCAAAGAAUCUUAAUUUUUCUUGCAAGAUCAGCUACAACAACUCUUAAUUUGUAUAUAAAUUUUUUAUAUUUUUAUUUCUCUGAAGAACUUUCUUUCUACGCAUUUGGAGAUCACCCUUUUCAAAUAGAGAACAAAUGGAUAGAUCAAACCCUAAAUUCCACCCCCUUCAGCUCUAAAGAUCGAGUCUUUACUGAAAAGGAUCCAAGAUUGUCUGCUUAUUGAAUCUCUG
rnacentral:lncRNA from 1 species